rnacentral:rRNA from 1 species
AAGUAAAAGUCGUAACAAGGUUUCCGUAGGUGAACCUGCGGAAGGAUCAUUACCUAGAGUUGCGGGCUUUGCCUGCCAUCUCUUACCCAUGUCUUUUGAGUACCUUCGUUUCCUCGGCGGGUUCGCCCGCCGGUUGGACAACACUUAAACCCUUUGUAAUUGAAAUCAGCGUCUGAAAAACUUUAAUGGUUACAACUUUCAACAACGGAUCUCUUGGUUCUGGCAUCGAUGAAGAACGCAGCGAAAUGCGAUAAGUAGUGUGAAUUGCAGAAUUCAGUGAAUCAUCGAAUCUUUGAACGCACAUUGCGCCCCUUGGUAUUCCAUGGGGCAUGCCUGUUCGAGCGUCAUUUGUACCUUCAAGCUCUGCUUGGUGUUGGGUGUUUGUCUCGCCUUCUGCGCGCAGACUCGCCUCAAAACAAUUGGCAGCCGGCGUAUUGAUUUCGGAGCGCAGUACAUCUCGCGCUUUGCACUCAUAACGACGACGUCCAAAAAGUACAUUUUUUACACUCUUGACCUCGGAUCAGGUAGGGAUACCCGCUGAACUUAAGC